rnacentral:rRNA from 1 species
AACCUUAGAGAUAAGGCGUUCCCUUCGGGGACGCAAUGACAGGUGGUGCAUGGUCGUCGUCAGCUCGUGUCGUGAGAUGUUGGGUUAAGUCCCGCAACGAGCGCAACCCUUGUUACUAGUUGCCAGCAUUAAGUUGGGCACUCUAGUGAGACUGCCGGUGACAAACCGGAGGAAGGUGGGGACGACGUCAGAUCAUCAUGCCCCUUAUGAUCUGGGCUACACACGUGCUACAAUGGCGUAAACAGAGGGAGGCGAAGGAGCGAUCCGGAGCAAACCCCAGAAAUAACGUCCCAGUUCGGAUUGCAGGCUGCAACCCGCCUGCAUGAAGCUGGAAUCGCUAGUAAUCGCGGAUCAGAAUGCCGCGGUGAAUACGUUCCCGGGUCUUGCACACACCGCCCGUCACACCAUGGGAGUCGGUAACGCCUGAAGUCAGUGACCCAACCUUAACGGAGGGAGCUGCCGAAGGCGGGACUGGUAACUGGGGUGAAGUCGUAACAAGGUAGCCGUAUCGGAAGGUGCGG